rnacentral:rRNA from 1 species
UACGUAGGGUGCGAGCGUUGUCCGGAAUUAUUGGGCGUAAAGAGCUCGUAGGCGGUUUGUCGCGUCUGCUGUGAAAACCCGAGGCUCAACCUCGGGCCUGCAGUGGGUACGGGCAGACUAGAGUGCGGUAGGGGAGAAUGGAACUCCUGGUGUAGCGGUGGAAUGCGCAGAUAUCAGGAAGAACACCGAUGGCGAAGGCAGUUCUCUGGGCCGUAACUGACGCUGAGGAGCGAAAGCAUGGGGAGCGAACAGG